AUAACUUCUUCAUUAUGAGGAAAAAUAAUCCAACAUCGAGGUCGCAAUCUCUUUCAUUAAUAUGAACUCUCCGAAAGAAUAACGCUGUUACCCCCAUAGUAAUUUUAUUUUUUAAAUUUUAAUAAAAGUUCAAUUAAUAAAUUCAAAUAAUUAUUAACACUAAUAAAAGAUAAUUUUAUUAUUUCCGCCCCAGAAAAACAAUAUUCAAACAAUAAAUAGAUUUUUACAAUUUAACUAUAAUAAAACUUAAUGGGGUCUUCUCGUCCCUCAAUGUAAUUAUAUCAGCCUUUUUACUUUAAAGUGAACUUCAAAUAUAAUAAUAACAGACAGUUAUUCUUACGUCAAACCAUUCAUUCCAGUCUCCAAUUAAAAGACAAAUUAUUAUGCUACCUUUGCACAGUCAAUUUACUGCGGCCAUUCAAUUAAUCAUCGUGGGCAGG
rnacentral:rRNA from 1 species